GACGAACGCUGGCGGCGUGCUUAACACAUGCAAGUCGAACGGAGUGUCGAACGGGUGAGUAACACGUGGGUGAUCUGCCCUGCACUUCGGGAUAAGCUUGGGAAACUGGGUCUAAUACCGGAUAGUGCAAGAUGAGCUCGCGGCCUAUCAGCGUGUUGGGGGGGUAAUGGCCUACCAAGGCGUCGACGGGUAGCCGGCCUGGGAGGGUGUACGGCCACAUUGGGACUGAGGGACGGCCCAGACGCCUACGGGGGGCAGCAGUGGGGAAUAUUGCACAAUGAGCGGAAGCCUGAUGCAGCGGCGCGGGGUGGGGGAUGAAGGCCUUCGGGUUUUAAACUCCUUUCGACAGGGACGCGGUACCUGUAUAAGAAGCACCGGCUAACUCCGUGCCAGCCGCCGCGGUAAUUC
rnacentral:rRNA from 1 species